GACGAACGCUGGCGGCGUGCCUAAUACAUGCAAGUUGAGCGCUGAAGGUUGGUACUUGUACCGACUGGAUGAGCAGCGAACGGGUGAGUAACGCGUGGGGAAUCUGCCUUUGAGCGGGGGACAACAUUUGGAAACGAAUGCUAAUACCGCAUAAAAACUUUAAACACAAGUUUUAAGUUUGAAAGAUGCAAUUGCAUCACUCAAAGAUGAUCCCGCGUUGUAUUAGCUAGUUGGUGAGGUAAAGGCUCACCAAGGCGAUGAUACAUAGCCGACCUGAGAGGGUGGUCGGCCACAUUGGGACUGAGACACGGCCCAAACUCCUACGGGAGGCAGCAGUAGGGAAUCUUCGGCAAUGGACGAAAGUCUGACCGAGCAACGCCGCGGGAGUGAAGAAGGUUUUCGGAUCGUAAAACUCUGUUGGUAGAGAAGAACGUUGGUGAGAGUGGAAAGCUCAUCAAGUGACGGUAACUACCCAGAAAGGGACGGCUAACUACGUG
rnacentral:rRNA from 1 species